rnacentral:ncRNA from 8 species
GCGCGGGUAAACGGCGGGAGUAACUA